GACGAACGCUGGCGGCGUGCCUAAUACAUGCAAGUCGAGCGGAUUUAUCCUUCGGGAUAAGUUAGCGGCGGACGGGUGAGUAACACGUAGGUAACCUGCCUAUAAGAUCGGGAUAACCAUCGGAAACGAUAGCUAAGACCGGAUAAUUGGUUUUCUCGCAUGAGAGAAUUAUGAAACACGGAGCAAUCUGUGGCUUAUAGAUGGGCCUGCGGCGCAUUAGCUAGUUGGUGAGGUAACGGCUCACCAAGGCGACGAUGCGUAGCCGACCUGAGAGGGUGAACGGCCACACUGGGACUGAGACACGGCCCAGACUCCUACGGGAGCAGCAGUAGGGAAUCUUCCGCAAUGGACGCAAGUCUGACGGAGCAACGCCGCGUGAGUGAUGAAGGUUUUCGAUCGUAAAGCUCUGUUGCCCUAGACGAACAGCAAGGAGAGUAACUGCUCUUUGUGUGACGGU
rnacentral:rRNA from 1 species